GACGAACGCUGGCGGCGUGCUUAACACAUGCAAGUCGAGCGGAGCGGCGAACGGGCGAGUAACGCGUGAGUAACUGCCCCCCUCUCUGGGAUAACAGUUGGAAACGGCUGCCAGUACCGGAUAGUGGGGGAUGGAUCGGGUCCUAUCAGCUUGUUGGUGGGGUAGUGGACUACCAAGGCGACGACGGGUAGCCGGCCUGAGAGGGCGACCGGCCACAUUGGGCUGAGAGACGGCCCAAACUGCUACGGGAGGCAGCAGUGGGGAAUAUUGCACAAUGGGGGAAACCCUGAUGAAGAAACGCCGCGGGCGGGAAAACGGCUUUCGGGUUGUAAACCGCGUUCAGCCAUGACGCGGUAGUGGCAGAAGAAGCACCGGCUAACUACGUGCCAGCAGCCGCGGUAAUUC
rnacentral:rRNA from 1 species